UGCGAAGAAUGGGCGUUAGCUUUUCGUCGAUUUACGAUAAAUAGAGGCCACAAUACGAAUAAUUAUUGUGAGGCUUCUAUACAAAUUUUUAAAGAUAUCGUCCUUCAGAGGUGUAAAGCCUUCAACAUGUGUGCUUCGGCAGAUUUUGUGCUUAAGACAUUCGAGAUAUAUCACAGAAAAGGGCUGCUACAUUUUGCUAAUUCAAGAUCUCGAAAAAUGAUACUGGACUAUCAGAAAUUUUUUGAGAGAUCCAAAAAUAUAACAGAUGUUACACAGGUUGAUAAAAAACAUUUAAAGUUCAGAGCGAACAAACAUUAGAGUACUACAUAAUUGAUAGUGAAAUUGGAUUUUGCACUUGUCCAAGUGGAAGUGGUGGCCGCUUCUGCAAACACCUACUAGCAGUUGAAAAUAAGUACGGUAUUAUGUUCAAAUCUUCCCUGCUGCUAACUAAAAAUGACCGCCAACAGCUUGCAUAUCUGGCUCUAGGAAAAGAAACUCCUUUGUCGUUCUUUGAAGACAUCAACGCACCUGUGCAUGAAGGAUCAUCAAAUGAACACAUAUUUGAUCAUACUACUUCUCAGCAAGCGGAGUUAGGAGCAUCAUCACAGUUUAACAUGCCCAUUGACCAAAUAGGUCUUGAAGUAGUCCACAAAAUAAAUGAUGAGUUUACACGCAUUGGUCUAGUUUUACAAAAGGAUGCAAAUACGAGCCAUAUACCACAGUUACAGAAAUUUUCCGCUAUACUAGAAACUCUACAGACGCCAUCACAGAUCAUGUCAUUUGUGUGUCACAAAACAACCGGUAGGAGAUCAAGAAAAAUUAAAGUACAACCAACCUCUAUUUCACGCCGAAAAGCUAGAGGUAUUUCAGGAGGAAGAAUUCAAGCUGGACGUCCUACGAAAUUAGAACUUCAGGGCACAAAAAAACUGCCCCAUAAUAUAGCAUUUAAUAUUGAGAAUAAUUUGCAGUGUGCCAAAAAAACAUUAAUAAACGAUGCAAAUAGAACCACACUUUCAAUAAUUUGUCAUAGAAGAACCUACAACAACAUCACGCCGAAGAGCUAAAGAAACCUAUUUUAGUCAAAGCAUCAGAAAAUUAAGCAACCCAUAAUAAUAUGGCUUUUAAUAUUAUCAAUUACUUACAGUAUGAC